GAUCCCUGAAAGAUGAUCAGGUUGAUAGGUCUGAGGUGGAAGUGUGGCGACACAUGGAGCUGACAGAUACUAAUCGAUCGAGGACUUAACCCA
rnacentral:rRNA from 1 species